AUUCAACGUGGUGACUAGGAGGUAAUAGGUCACUCAUAAGUCAUAACUCUUAAAUAGGCAUCAUUGGCAUUUAUAUUUGAAUAUUUAACAUAGAAGGAAGCAAUGCAUUUGGAAAGUAUCAAUUGACAGUAUGAAAGCAUAUCGCUAUACGUUAUCUAAGACAUUUUCUAUAACAUAUUAAGCCAUACUAACUAAUUUAAUGUUUUCUGCUAGUGUGCAAUAUGAUAAUUAUCAGUAUCCUUCGUGUUACAGAAACAUUGCAGGUUCUGUGCUUUGCUUUCUUGGAGCAUUCAAUUUGCUUAUGCACUCAUUGGCCGUCUUCAUCUAAGUUAUAGUGAAGCUUAUCCAACAGCAUGUGUUUCAAGAGAUCAACAGUUUGGGUGGAUGAGCAUCACCUAAGUUAUAGUGAAGCUUCAUUGCCUCCAUUUCAUCCUCUGGUAUGUUCAUUUACGUAAGCAGUUUUUAGAUGAUGACCAUGCUUGUUACUUCAUAUGGUUUAUUAGGUAGCAGAACUCCCUUAUUGUUGGCUUAAUGCAACGAUGUUUGCUUAGCCUUUUCUGAACCACUUAAUAAUAAGACACAUUUCUUUUCUCUUUUCAUUGACUCAUCAGUCUGUGCUACAAUCAGGUUUAUGUUCCGGCAAGUACUGAUCCUGCGGUAACCAACUUCCAUCUGGUGUGGAUUUCAUAUAAGCUGACGUUUCACCGGCACCCUUGACAGUUCUAGCCUUUUAG
rnacentral:lncRNA from 1 species